ACCGAUUUUGAUAUCAGUCGAUGGAAAGCAUUACGAUAUUGGGGGUUCAUGAUGAAGUAAAUCAAUGGGUUCACCGACGCACUGAAUAAAACCAGCCAUAAAGAUAAAAUGUAAACAUUACCAACUGAUCAAAGUAUUACUUCUUAACGUGUAUGGAUGCUAAAUAUACUCUGUUUACCUUUUGGAUUAUCGUGAAGCUUGAUUUAAUUAAAUAAUCGAAAAGAAGGAAAAGAUUUGUUCCCAUGUCAAACAAGGAAAAUAAAUGUAAAUUAUCUUUCAUAAUGA